AUGUCCUUUGUCCUCUUCAUGCAGGUGUCACGCAUUUGCCUUAGAAGAGGCGUUUUUGUCCUUAUUAUUCUGACUGGAACAUAUUCCAAUGGAGAAGCGAGAGGAAAGCAAAGAGCAAACAGAGUUCACUCAGCUGAUUGUUGCAACAGAAGAAACAAUUCCUCCCAGUUCAGCACAGAACAGACUUUCUCCUCUUUUUGCCUUUUUAUGGGAAGACAGCUAGUAACUUUCUUUCUCUGUUUCCUCAGGGAUCACUGUCUUCAGGUAGAGCCACAGAGAAUCCUUCUCAUACCUGUUUUUAAUAUGCUAUUUUCCAUCUUCUUUUCCAUUCCCCUAAAACCACUUACACAACAUACAUUCAUACUCAUAUCUGGAUAUUUCUUAAGCUCAGAAAAGUUUGACGGUGAAGAUAAAUAAAAAUUUAGGGAAGAAAGUGGUUAAUUUACUUGAGAAAUAUGGUUAAAUAUUUGCAGUUGGACAGGGGGCUUGUCUGCUAUGUUACUAUAUAUAGCCAGCUUCAUUUUCUUCUUGAUAAAUUGGACAUUUACACGGAAAAAUUAAUACAGAAAAUAAUGAGAGUUUUAAGCAUAAAGUGUCUGAUAUUGGCAAGAGCAGUGAGAGGAGAAGCACAAUGAAUAAGAGAAAGAAAGGUGGAAAAUCUGGAAAUCAGCAGGUAGGCCUGGAAGCAUCUCAUUGAAUCUGAAGCAUAAGCUGUCUUUAAGGUAACCUUCCCCAUUACACCCAACUACCAGGGUAAAAGCAGGCAGAGGGAGGAGAUAUUUCUAUGAACUGUUAUGCCUAUUAUUUCUCUCUGAUGUUUCUUUUGACUGUUAACCACUAAACUAGCACUCAGCUAUGACCAUUUUGUCUGCAAAACUGUAAAAGUCCUGUAGCAUAUUCUUGAAGGUAAAAUAAGCUCCCAACCAGAGGGGUGGGUAAGAGGAGCCUGAAGCCUUUUCCUCAGAGCAGCCUAACAAGGGGCAUAUUGCAGACUCGAGCUGUGAUUGUGCAGUUAAAGGGAAAAUCAGCUAAUCACAGGAACUGAAGAGCAAAGAUCAUCAAACUAUAAAUUAGAUUUCUGUAUUACUGUGCAGGAUUAGAUAUUCACAUUGUGGGGGAGCAGACAUUUGUGUUUUGGGAAAAGGCUGAAGGCAUCAGGUCUGCGUUUCCUAUGCAAGAGCUAAUAUCUGUAAGGGAAAUUCAUUACCGUUUAAAAGAUGCUUUGACCAAUUUGCCAACAUUAGAUUGCUGGAACAAGGCCUGGGAAGCAGAUUUCCUCACAGGUGGCUAUUGCAGUGCUGGUUAGGAUGUAUCAUUACUUCUGCCUGUACCACGCACAACAACUAGCUGGCACAUCAUUUAUCUUCACCCUUUAAAAACAAUGAAAAUCAGGUAGAGAUGAUUUUUUUUUCCUGAA
rnacentral:lncRNA from 1 species